rnacentral:lncRNA from 1 species
AAGAGAACGGAUAAAAAGACUUUGAAGAAGGUGGAGAAGAUUUUUUUUGUCCACAGAGACAUGGUGGGAGUCCGAGGAUGGAUAGCUAGAGCCGGGCAGCUCCUGUGUCAUACAGUGAAGCUGUGUCAGGACCUGGUUCUUGUGGUGACACGGCUUGCCUCCCUCGCAGCUGUUAGCAACCCCGUCUCUUCUGCUGAGAGGAAAGAACAGUGGUGACACCAAGGUCUCCGGAGUGGGAGACACCUUUGCACCCACACCUAUGGCUUCAACUUCACCAGAAGAAGUGCUAAUCCACCGGCAUUUGCAACUGGUUCCCGACACCUUCCUGCCCCCUCAGGAGCAGGGUUGUCACUCAGAGCAAUUAUAUUCCCAGCAACAAGUUCCACCUGUUGCUCUUCCCACCACUGCCAGGAGGUGGGUGAGCUCUCCUCCAUACUGCUGUCUCUCUCUGAAACUGUAGAGAGAAGCAGAAUCUGGGCCCCCUGUAUUCUAAAGCAAAGAGAGGCCACCUUCUGUCCAGCCCAGUGCAGGAGGAGAGGCUGGAGUCACUUUUCAGUGUGUCUGUCUGCCCUUCCGUUCCACUUGUGGACAGUGAGCAGGAGCCCGACACCCUUUUUUGCUGAGGGUAGGGAGUUGUUGAUGACUCCGAGUGAGCAGAGUGGGCUUCUCACUCGUCCCCCAGCCAGCAGGGCUCCCAUGUCAUUGUGGUGGGACAGAAACCUUGAGCAGGACCUCAGAGCGUCUGGGUGACCGAGCCACCACCCAGUUGGGGCUUCUGUGUAAAUGGCUAAUCACGCUGCCUGCUAGCUGAAGAGACUCAGACCGACCGCAGAGCCCUGUGUGGCGUGAGACGCCUGUGAACCCCCGGACUCUGCUAAUUGGGGUGCCCUUCUGUCUCCAGGAUGUCCUGCUCUUUAUCUGAGUUGAAGAGAUAAGGAAGGUAGCUGGGCUGCUCUGAGCAGCCCCUGCUGGACAGGCCCUGCGUGUUGGCUCCAGGUUCCCUGCCGCCCACUUCCUCAGAAAACACUGGAGUCCUGGAGCUCUGGGGUGUGUGGGGAGCCAGGAGCGUCUCUAAAAUCAGGCUGACAGUACCCGAGUGAGCAAAGGUCACCGUUCCGUCACUGGGCAAGUCCUCCCUCNAAGAUACUGAUGGGUUUCGUCUGUGGAACUGAGAUGCAGGUUGGUUCCCCCAAAUCAAAUCGUUACCAGAAAAUAAGGUAACCUUGCGUUUCUAAGGACCAAGACUUAAUGUGGGGUGUCCUUGGAGAUGGGAGAAAUCAAGUCAAACUCACCAAGUUUGGUCCACUCAUCAGGGGGGUGGGGGUGGGGGGUGUGACGAGGAAAAACAAAUAGAAGAUAGGGAGUGGAGGGAAUCUUGUUUUCUAAGAUUAAAUGGUAUUGAAAGUGAGAUGCUUUUGCACACUAAAUUAAGCAAGGGAGGCAGGUUUUCAAUAUUUAUAGCCUCCACAUGUCUAAAAGUCCAGACCCAAACCAACAUACAUCCCUGAUCAUGAAGUUUCCCCCCCUUAUCCAAAUAUAAAAUGUAUUGUAUGUUAUAUUGACUUCAGGACUAAAUCUUUCCCUUAUAAGGUGUUUGAAAUAAAUGGCUUUUAUUAUGG